ensembl:lincRNA
GAUUACAAAUCAUGUGACAAUUGUAUCUAUUAAGAAGUUUUCUUCCCAUAGCUUUUCUCAAGAAACUACUUUCAAAUGAAAUCUCAACAGAGCUUGCCUGUUGUUGAUGGAUUUAAAUUAUUUUCUUGAGUAGAUAUUUGAAGUCUUUGGCAAUCAUAAAAAGAAUGACCCCACAUUCCUUGCAAAAUCUCAGUCUGUGAAGGUUUGUGCUUGUUAGCAAUGCCACUUCUCAUUCCAAAGAGCCUUCUAGUCAGCUCUGAAAUCGUGUGCAGAUGAAGUGUUUCAGUGAUUGGUGACACUGUCAUCACUGACACAGUGUAACCUCAUGCUUCAGUUCCUUGCAUAUAAAGGAACUCUUUCUUUAGCAUGUGAACAUCCAGUCUCUGUCCUGUCACACAAAUUCUCCACAUGUCACACCUUCUUGCUUGCUCUCCUAUGUUGCUCACAUUGAGGUACAGUCAAUGCAACCUUUCCUCAAAGCAACUGCUCAAAAAAAAAAAAUUCUUAAAAAACAAAGGACAUGUGUUUUCUGGGGCAUGGUUAGCUGGCUCCCCAUAAUUCAUUUUGUAAUUGGGAAAAAUAUACCACUUCUGAUAUUGUCUGAGUGCUGAUCUGGAGCGACUGAGCAGGAGUUUCCAACAAAAAACAUUUAGUUUUUCCACUUCACAACUCAGGAAGAAUUUAGGACCAGGGCAGUUAUAGACUCUAGAAGUUGUUUUCAUUUCCAGGGUUUUAGUUCAAGUUUCAGACAGGAAGGAAGCUUGAGCAUAGUUUAAUUUCCAAAAACAAUGUUUUAUUUGUCAAAUCUCAUUUCCUCAUAUACAGAUUGAUACAAGUCUAAUAUCAAACACAUUGAGCUCUGAAACAAAAAGUUUUAGAAAUGAAAAAUAAUGAAUGAGUAAAGAAAAGUAACCACUGUAAAUUCUCCUCUGUGAGUUUCUUAAACAAACAAGUGUUCACCUGAUUCUUUCAAAUGGGGCCUCUAAUUCCUUUGAAAGUUUCCAGUGCAACAUGUACAUGGAAUGCAUCAAUGGGUGAUUGAAAGCUGUAUGCUCCCAGCUAUAGUAAUAUUAUUUGAUUUUGGUGGUAAACAUCAUGACUUCAUAUGUACUACUAUGCAUACGGCCAAAGAGUAUCUAGACAUUGUUGUUUUUUAAAAAAGAAAAGAUUUAUUUUUUUAUAUCCUUGAAUAUAAGUACCCAUACAUCUGUGUGCACUGUGUGUGUGUGCUGUGGAGACCAGAAGAUAGUGUUGGAGUCCCCUGACACUGAAGUUACAGACAAUUGUAGGCUACCAGAUGUGGGUGCUAGGAAUGGAAACCUGGUUUUCUAGAAGAACAAUACACUUCCUUAGCCAGUGAGCCAACUCUCCAGCCACAAAUCUUUCUUGAGAACCUAUAAGGCUCAUCUUCUUAAGAAUCUGUAAUAACCUACAUCUUUGUAUCAGAGUUGAGACGGAAAUUUGUUGGGGGUUGGUCUAGUGCUCCCAUGUAUUCCAAUGUGAGAUACUGUCCUCCAAGAUCUGCUUACAGUUCCAUGAGCAUGUUCUCACAUACACAAAAUGAUGUUGUAUAAACUUUGCUCGACAAUUUUCUCUGAGUGGUUUAAUAGAAGAAGCCACAGUCAAUUACUGGGAGAAUAGAGGUAGGAGGGGCUGGGUGCCAAAUGUAAAUGCAUUUUUAAAAGUAUUUAUUGAAGUCUGCAGCUAGCUCAUAAAUAAAUGAGACUGAGACUACUAAAGUUAUUUAACAAUCUUUAGCACAAUUACUGGGCAAAUUAUCCCUACUCUAUUUUUUUUUUUUUUUUUUGUAUGCUAGACUGGCUACUUCCUAGCCAAGCUCCCCAAGUACUUGCUGUUUGUGUCCCACUUGGGUUACUUCUGCUCCACCAGUCGGUCUUCAGGGGCACUUCACUCGGCCACAUAUUUCUGGUCCAUUGUGUCUAAUGGAGACUUCUGGUUCUCUCUGUCUUCUCUCUUCCUUCUCCUUCUUCCCUCUUCUUCUUCCUCCAACUCUUUCUUUGUGGUCCCUACCUGAGAUUCCCCAGCUUGGUAACUGAACACCUAACUCUAUUCUUCCCAGUGACUGGCUGUAGCUUCUUUUAUUUAACUAGUCAGAGAAUACUGGAGAGUAAAAUUUAUACAACAUCAUUUUGUUCCAUGUGCUCAUGGAACUGUAAGCAAAUCUCGGAGGACAGUAUCUAGCAUUUGAAUACAUAGCGGCACUAGACCAACGCCCAACAGAAAUUGAUGUGUGUGUGUUGUGUUGUGUGUGUGUGUGUGUGUGCAAGCUCAUGUGCGCACAUACCACAGGCUUGAGCAUGUUCAGGCCAGAGAUAAACAUCAGGUGUCUUUCUCUCUUCACCUUUAAAAAAUUAAUUUUUACUCUCUUAGAGUUUUAUACAUUUAGGCUAUGUAUUUUGAUUGUACCCAUCCUGAGUCUUUUCUUCUGACUUCUGGAAUAUCCCGCUCCUUCAUCUACUACUUCUCCUUCUCCUCUUCUUUUUUAUGACCCAAUUCAUGCUGCCCAUGUGCACACAGAUACAGGGUCAUCUGCUGGAGGAGCCUAGGUAACUUAUGAGGAGCUGUACUCCUGAAAUCAAUC